rnacentral:lncRNA from 1 species
AAACCGCAGUGCUACCUGGAGGCCUCCAACACCAGGAGCAGUGCGGGGAGCCUCCCCAAAUCGGAGGCCCCGGAGCCGGGUUCAGACGUGGCUCUGGAGACAGAGACGCCAAGUCCUGGAGAACCCGCAGCCUGGUCGGUGCCCUGGCCACUUAGCCCCAGAAACAGCAGAACAGAUCCUUCCGGAAGCUACAUGGUCUGUUAAUAUUGUUUUAGGACCAAGUAAGUGAAGCUAUUUGGAAAUCAAUAUUUAAACAUUCUUAUGAAGUGAGCCAUAUGUCAAGUAAAAUGGGACAAAAGGAGUAGAAUCGUAAAAAAGAAAAUACAGAAUAUCUGUUUAUGGUGUUACUUCAUAUGUCUAUUUCCCUCUAGGCAAAGUUUUUUAUUAUUGUUGAUGUGAUUCCUUUUAUUCUGUUGUCAGUACCACCAGAGCAGGUAAGUAAUAAAUGAUUCUGAUUGUUGUUUUAUAUCCA